rnacentral:rRNA from 1 species
UACGUAGGGUGCGAGCGUUAAUCGGAAUUACUGGGCGUAAAGCGUGCGCAGGCGGUUUUGUAAGCCCGAUGUGAAAGCCCCGGGCUUAACCUGGGAAUGGCAUUUGGGACUGCAAGGCUCGAGUGCGGCAGAGGAGACUGGAAUUCCUGGUGUAGCAGUGAAAUGCGUAGAGAUGUGGAGGAAUACCGAUGGCGAAGGCAGCCCCCUGGGCCAAUACUGACGCUCAUGCACGAAAGCGUGGGGAGCAAACAGG